GCGAGCGUGGCGAAACUGGUAGACGCAGCGGACUUAAAAUCCGUUCGCCGAAAGGCGGUGCGGGUUCAACUCCCGCCGCUCGCACCA
rnacentral:tRNA from 1 species